AUGGGAGACCCAAAAACCCAAGUAUCCCCAAUGGGAGACCCCAAAAACCCAAGUAUCCCCAAUGAGAGACCCCAAAAACCCAAGUAUUCCCAAUGGAAGACCCCAAAAACCCAAGUAUCCCCAAUGGAAGACCCCAAAACCCAAGUAUCCCCAAUGGGAGACCCCAAAACCCAAGUAUCUCCAAUGAGAGACCCCAAAAAGACCCUAUUAUCACCAAUGAAUGGCCUAAAAACCCCCAUAUCAUCAAUGGGAGACCCAAAAGACCCCAUAUCAUCAAUGGGAGACCCCAAAAACCCAAGUAUCCCCAAUGGAAGACCCAAAAACCCAAGUAUCUCCAAUGAGAGACCCCAAAAAGACCCUAUUAUCACCAACGAAGGCCUAAAAACCCCGAUAUCAUCAAUGGUCGACCUAAAACACCCCAUAUCAUCAAUGGGAGACCCCAAAACACAAGUAUCCUCAAUGGGAGACCCCAAAAACUCAAGUAUCCUCAAUGGGAGACCCCAAAACCCAACUAUCCCCAAUGAGAGACCCCAAAAGACCCUAUUAUCAGCAAUUAAUGGCCUAAAAACCCCCAUAUCAUCAAUGGGAGACCCAAAAGACCCCAAAUCAUCAAUGGGUGACCCCAAAACCCAAGUAUUCCCAAUGGAAGACCCCAAAAACCCAAGUAUUCCCAAUGGGAAACCCCAAAAACCCAAGUAUCCCCAAUAGAAGACCCAAAAACCCAAGUAUCCUCAAUGGAAGACCCCAAAACCCAAGUAUCCCCAAUGGGAGACCCCAAAACCCAAGUAUUCCCAAUGGAAGACCCCAAAAACUCAAGUAUCCCCAAUGGAAGACCCCAAAACCCAAGUAUCCCCAAUGGAAGACCCCAAAAACCCAAGUAUCCCCAAUGGGAGACCCAAAAACUCAAGUAUCCCCAAUGGGAGACCCCAAAAGACCCUAUUAUCACCAAUGAAUGGCCUAAAAACCCCCAUAUCAUCAAUGGGAGACCCAAAAUCCCAAGUAUCCCCAAUGGGAGACCCCAAAAACCCAAGUAUUCCCAAUGGGAGACCCCAAAAACCCAAGUAUUCCCAAUGGAAGACCCCAAAAAACCCAAGUAUUCCCAAUGAGAGACCCCAAAAGACCCUAUUAUCACCAACGAAGACCUAAAAAUCCCGAUAUCAUCAAUGGGAGACCCAAAAGACCCAAGUAUUCCCAAUAGAAGACCCCAAAACUCAAGUAUCCCCAAUGGAAGACCCCAAAACCCAACUAUCCCCAAUGGUUGACCCAAAAAACGCCCAUCCGACCCCAAAAUUAAGGCAUUAAAUAUUAUGGGGUGGGGGGGGGUUUACCUGGUCGGAAUCCUUCCUGCUGUCAUUGAGGGGGUCCGGGAUGGCGAGUUGGGGGUACAGACCCCGACAUAGAACCAGUUUGAGAAGGGAAAUGUGGGAGGGGGUCAGGUCGGAGCUGGAGGAAGCCUGAAGUUCGGCCACGUCGUGUCGGAGCUGGAAUUUGACGUCCUUUGGGGGUUUUUAACCCAAAAUAAAGGAUAAAUGGGGAGGGGGGAGGGUUGGAGA
ensembl:lncRNA